GGCCUAUAACUCAGUGGUAGUGCAUCUGUUUUGCAUACAGGAGAUUCCAGUUUCGAUCCCUGGCAUUUCCA